rnacentral:tRNA from 1 species
AUAAUAUAAUCUAAUAAAGAUGCUUCAUUGAUAGAGAAGAUAUAGAAUCAUUCUUAUUAUUA